rnacentral:misc_RNA from 1 species
UUAUGCCCCAGACAGUAAUGGAAAGCUUCGAAGUUUUGAAAUCUAUUUUUUCUUGAGAUGGCAGGGCGACUGGAAGAAGCUCCUGCUGGCUCAUUAGAAAAAAAGAAUUUCAUGACGAGAACUUGCAAUGGAAAGCUGGAAAAGGC